UACAGAGGUCUCAAGCGUUUGUUCGGAUUCAUUGGGCGUAAAGGGUGCGUAGGCGGCGCGGUAAGUCGGGUGUGAAAUCUCGGGGCUUAACUCCGAAACUGCAUUCGAUACUGCCGUGCUUGAGGACUGGAGAGGAGACUGGAAUUUACGGUGUAGCGGUGAAAUGCGUAGAUAUCGUAAGGAAGACCAGUGGCGAAGGCGGGUCUCGUGGACAGUUCCUGACGCUGAGGCACGAAGGCCAGGGGGAGCAAACGGGG
rnacentral:rRNA from 1 species